rnacentral:rRNA from 1 species
GUGGGGAAUAUUGGACAAUGGGCGAAAGCCUGAUCCAGCCAUGCCGCGUGUGUGAAGAAGGUCUUCGGAUUGUAAAGCACUUUAAGUUGGGAGGAAGGGCAGUAAGCUAAUACCUUGCUGUUUUGACGUUACCGACAGAAUAAGCACCGGCUAACUCUGUGCCAGCAGCCGCGGUAAUACAGAGGGUGCAAGCGUUAAUCGGAAUUACUGGGCGUAAAGCGCGCGUAGGUGGUUCGUUAAGUUGGAUGUGAAAGCCCCGGGCUCAACCUGGGAACUGCAGCCAAAACUGGCGAGCUAGAGUACGGUAGAGGGUGGUGGAAUUUCCUGUGUAGCGGUGAAAUGCGUAGAUAUAGGAAGGAACACCAGUGGCGAAGGCGACUACCUGGACUGAUACUGACACUGAGGUGCGAAAGCGUGGGGAGCAAACAGGAUUAGAAACCCUUGUAGUCC